AACAUAGCGACUGCAACAAAUACUAGCAAAGAGAAGAUAAUCUUUUUUUUAAUCAUAAAAUGUCCAGGACAACACCAGUACAACUACCAUAGCAAGGAAGUUCAGUUAUAGACUCAAGAAAGACACUGGAGGAUCAUACAUUAACCUCCAUCACAGAAGAGGACAUGUUUCCAUCACAAACGUUACGAUACAGCCAACCGGAGAAAAACUGCAUUACAGUUCUAAAAGAACAUAAGUAGCCAAUUUUAUCAGCUUAUUGAAGACGCAGCUUGCCAGUUUAUUU
rnacentral:lncRNA from 1 species